GAAGUAGAAGAUGGAGAGAAUCCACUCUGACUUCAGGGGACAGGAUCAGCUUGAUGGAGAACUCACUGUCAUUCACACAUUCAUUACCCGCUUACAGAUCAAUACGGCAGCCGUUGGAGGACACAACAACAGGAAGCAGAGAUGGGGCCUUCCGGAUGCUGCCACACAAAACCUCGGCCUUCCCAGGCUGGACACUGUUAAGUGUGAGAAACAGGAGAGUCCUCGUCCCUCGUUCUGCUGCCACUGAAAGCUGAGCUUCUUCUCUGUGAGCCCACAGCCCGAUCCAGACUCUCCAGUCCUGAGCUGUGGCCAGGUCAUGUUUAUACCCCCUCAGCUGGACCCUGCAGGGACUCCUGCCAGGCUCUUCAAGGAGGACAAUAAGGGUUUCCUAAUGCCCGGGGCUCAAGUUUAAAAAAAGUCUUUCAGCACUCGAUUGCGCAGGAGCCUCCUCUGAUUCCUACUGAUUCUCCUUCAAGUGAAAUAAUAUCCACUUAGAAAAAAAGCCAGAUGGAAAGCCAAGGACCCCUGCUGGCUACAAGAAGACUGAAUGUGGGCUCUUCAGACUGAGUCUGCCCUGCUGGUUGGGGGCGGGGCGUAGUCCAUGGCCAGCCAGGGCCACAAGACAGCAAGAUGACCCCAGUGUGCACGGCAUGGCCAGUCAGAAGGUGCAUUCUCUAGCCAUGUCCAUCAGCAAGAUCCGUACUCUCUUUGAAACCAGGAGCCAUGCACGGAUGGUGUAAAUCAGGGAGGGUCCCUAAAGGUGUGGGUUCCAGAUUUUGUGUAUUCAGAGGGGUGUGAAGAUACUGAUUAACCUCCAACUCUGCAAAAAACACAUAUGUAUUAAAAAAUUCUAG